CAGUCGCCGCGGUAAUACGUAGGGUGCAAGCGUUAAUCGGAAUUAUUGGGCGUAAAGCGAGUGCAGACGGUUACUUAAGCCAGAUGUGAAAUCCCCAAGCUUAACUAGGGACGUGCAUUUGGAACUGGGUGACUAGAGUGUGUCAGAGGGAGGUAGAAUUCCACAUGUAGCGGUGGAAUGCGUAGAGAUGUGGAGGAAUACCGAUGGCGAAGGCAGCCUCCUGGGAUAACACUGACGUUGAGGCUCGAAAGCGUGGGGAGCAAACGGGAUUAGAUACCCCCGUAGUCCCUGUCUCUUAUAC
rnacentral:rRNA from 1 species